GCUGGUGUAGCUCAGUAGGUAGAGCACAUCCUUGGUAAGGAUGAGGUCACGGGUUCAAUUCCCGUCACCAGCUCCA
rnacentral:tRNA from 1 species